rnacentral:rRNA from 1 species
AGAUCAUCAUUGGGUGUAAAGCGUGCGCAGGCGGUUUUGUAAGACAGAGGUGAAAUCCCCGGGCUCAACCUGGGAACUGCCUUUGUGACUGCAAGGCUGGAGUGCGGCAGAGGGGGAUGGGAAUUCCGCGUGUAGCAGUGAAAUGCGUAGAUAUGCGGAGGAACACCGAUGGCGAAGGCAAUCCCCUGGGCCUGCACUGACGCUCAUGCACGAAAGCGUGGGGAGCAAACA